GCCCUGGUUGGAGGAGACCACGACCUCGCGGGUGUGGCGGGCAUUGGUGGAGGUGAACACCUUCACCAGCUCCGGGAUCAGCGCCCCGGCCAGGGUGCC
rnacentral:tRNA from 1 species